rnacentral:rRNA from 1 species
GAUGAACGCUGGCGGCGUGCCUAAUACAUGCAAGUCGAGCGAACGGACGAGAAGCUUGCUUCUCUGAUGUUAGCGGCGGACGGGUGAGUAACACGUGGAUAACCUACCUAUAAGACUGGGAUAACUUCGGGAAACCGGAGCUAAUACCGGAUGAUAUUUUGAACCGCAUGGUUCAAAAGUGAAAGACGGUCUUGCUGUCACUUAUAGAUGGAUCCGCGCUGCAUUAGCUAGUUGGUAAGGUAACGGCUUACCAAGGCAACUAUGCAUAGCCGACCUGAGAGGGUGAUCGGCCACACUGGAACUGAGACACGGUCCAGACUCCUACGGGAGGCAGCAGUAGGGAAUCUUCCGCAAUGGGCGAAAGCCUGACGGAGCAACGCCGCGUGAGUGAUGAAGGUCUUCGGAUCGUAAAACUCUGUUAUUAGGGAAGAACAUAUGUGUAAGUAACUGUGCACAUCUUGACGGUACCUAAUCAGAAAGCCACGGCUAACUACGUG